CAUGCGAUCACAGUUCUCGAUCAAGCCCGGAAGACUGCCGAGUAAGGGCCAGACACGUGGACCCCUUAGGGACCGGGAGAUGAAUGUGAACCAUAGUAGGUAAGCUGUGACUGCUGCUAAAAGCAACAAAGCAGUUGAUAUCUCCAUGAUGCUGAUUUAGUCUUUUUUUUUUUCCAGGAAAAUGUUUGCUCUAGGAGGUAAAAUAGAAAAUACAGAUUACCCUUUGGAAAAAAUGGCAACUUGGGCAAGAAGGUGAGCUAAAAGUUGUGGUUUUUGC
rnacentral:lncRNA from 1 species